UACGAAGGGGGCUAGCGUUGCUCGGAUUGACUGGGCGUAAAGGGCGCGUAGGCGGUUUGCAUAGUCAGACGUGAAAUUCCUGGGCUUAACCUGGGGGCUGCGUUUGAUACAUGCAGGCUUGAGUUCGGAAGAGGGUCGUGGAAUUCCCAGUGUAGAGGUGAAAUUCGUAGAUAUUGGGAAGAACACCGGUGGCGAAGGCGGCGACCUGGUCCGAUACUGACGCUGAGGCACGAAAGCGUGGGGAGCAAACAGG
rnacentral:rRNA from 1 species